CCAGCGCCGUGACGCGCGCGCUUCCGGCCGUGCCCAUAUAUGGCAAGGCGGCGGCGCCGCGCUUCCCGGGCGGCGCGGGGCGGCGGGAAGGGGCCCGAGGGCACCGGGACGGGCACCGGGACGGGCACCGGGACACCGCUCCUGCCCGCCCCGCCCGGCUCCUCGCGGGCUGAGCGGGCGGCCUGGCCGCCGCCGCGCCUCCCCCGGCGCUCCGCUGCCCCGGCGGUGUGAGGCGGCAGGAGAAGGAGCGGGGGUUUCGAGCCGCUGGGCGCUGAGCCCCAGCGGAGCUCGCACGUUCGCAGCCCUCGCUGUCCCUGCCCGGCAGCACCCCCCACCCUGGAAAUCUCCGUAGCCAUCGAGAAUUGAUCCGUGAUGUUGCAGCACAAGAGCAGCCCUACGUUCAUCCUUGAACACCCGCUCUGCUGUUAAUAUUGACAUUUGUCUUUUUGUUACUUUUUGUUACUAUUUUGUUACUAUUUUGUUACAAAAAGUUGACUCUACUACUUUCCGUCAAAAUAGAACAGAAAGCUCGCCAAAAGAGUUAUCAGAGCCAGUGGACAGUCAAAAUAAAAAUGGAUUAUUCAAAGAAGAUAAGGUUCUGGAGAAAAAUUAAAUUAAUAUUUUGCUCUGUGCUCAUUGCAGAGGAACCUAAGAAUAUUCCUGUACUUAUACUUGAUUUUGUGAAAGAUCUAUCGGAGGAUGUGUUUCAAGCUGAAGGUCUGUAGAAAAGGUAGUGAAACAAAUGGCUAAAAUAAAAAGCGUUGCACAAUUGGACUGCAUUAUAUUCAUCCAAGAGUUCUAAGAGAAGUCAAGACUGAAAUAGCUGAGCUGCUUACUAAUGGUUUAUGUGUAACAUUACAUUUAGAAGGGCUUUGAUAACAGAAUCAGGGAAGAUAGUUAAUAUGUCAAUUUAAAAAAAAACCAAACAACAACAACAAAAACACCCAAGAGCCUGAAAAGUUCUGUAGAGCUGCUGAGCAAUGAGCCUGUUCUCUGUACCAGCCAAGUUAGUGAAAACCUCAAAGAGAUGAGCUAGUGGGUGCGGGGAGAAAAUGGGGUCCCAUGAGAGAUGGCAGAGCUUUUCUGAUGAGAACUCCUGGUCUCACACAGUUUGGAGUCCUGUGAGGACUCAGCAAAGCAUGUGGACAAGAGACAUUCAGCUGGUAUUUCCUAAUUGGGUUUCUAAAAAGUAUUCAACAAAAUCUGUGAGCAAAACCUUCUGAAGGAACUGUAGAAUAAGAGAAGUUUCAUGUGGAUAGAUGACACUGCAUUAAAGACCGGUCUCUGUAAGAUGGAACCAAAAUAUUUCUCAGUGCAUUGAGUCAGCAUGCAAAGUUCCACAAGGAUCUGAAUUGGAGCCUGUGGACUGAGAGCAAAGAUCUUUUGCUGAUAAGGUUGUUCUUUGGAGCUGCAUCCGGGAGCCUUUCCAGGCAGAGCCAGGCUGGUGACCCAGUGAGGUGCUGAAGUGAAACCAACAACUCCCAUUCUUCUCCUUUGGAAACAGCGGAUGUCCACAAGGGACCUGGAUAUUAUAUCAACAGGAUAUCAUGGGAAAACAAAAGAAGGCUGUAACCAGCAUGUGGACAAUGUAUCUUUAUCAUUUCCAAUUAAGGAGCUCACAGGAGUUCUGUGGUGUCCUGUCCCCUGCCACCCCGUGGCAUCUUUAGUCUGCACAACAACAGAUUUUCAGCUCUUCUUCACUGAUUAGAUUUGAGCUCUGUUUUUGUACAAAUGUUUUGUAACUUGGUCUGUUGGCUAUGGACAACCAGCUGCAACAUUAAAGGAGUAAUUUUAAUUCUGAUUGCAUCGCAUCUUCCACUUGGUAAGGAUUGAGUGCUUUUUAAAUAGCCCAUCUUGAAUCUUCUCAUGCUCAGGAAGAAGGGAAGAGAAACCAACUCCUAAUAUAGUAUUUAUCUGGUUUUGUUUGCAAAAUUAAAUAUUUGCCCUGAAUAGGUAAUGGUAUUGCAAAGGCCAUAAAAUACAGUAGCAGUGUUAAAGCAUAUCAUCUGAAAGAUACAUGGAAUUCAGAUGUUGUGAGGGUAUUUGGGUUUUUAAAUAAAACAUUAUUUUGA